rnacentral:rRNA from 1 species
GACGAACGCUGGCGGCGUGCUUAACACAUGCAAGUCGAGCGAGGCCCCUCCUUCGGGAGGGUGUCCUAGCGGCGAACGGGUGAGUAACACGUGGGCAACCUGCCCUCAGCUCUGGGAUAACUCCGGGAAACCGGGGCUAAUACCGGAUACGACCUCCACGGGCAUCUGCGGAGGUGGGAAGUUUUUCGGCUGAGGAUGGGCCCGCGGCCUAUCAGCUAGUUGGUGGGGUAGUGGCCCACCAAGGCGACGACGGGUAGCCGGCCUGAGAGGGCGACCGGCCACACUGGGACUGAGACACGGCCCAGACUCCUACGGGAGGCAGCAGUGGAGAAUAUUGCGCAAUGGGCGAAAGCCUGACGCAGCGACGCCGCGUGAGGGACGAAGGCCUUCGGGUUGUAAACCUCUUUCAGCAGGGACGAAGCGAAAGUGACGGUACCUGCAGAAGAAGCACCGGCCAACUACGUG